GCGGGCGUGGCGGAACUGGUAGACGCACUGGAUUUAGGUUCCAGCGCCGCAAGGCGUGGAGGUUCGAGUCCUCUCGCCCGCACCA
rnacentral:tRNA from 4 species